AGAGUGGCGUCAAAUUCUCCUGCGUCCUGUGAUAUGCAUGAUACAGACCUAAAUGAAACUGGCAUUCUCUUGGGAAGGAAGAGUGGAGAAUGGGUGCUGGAUUGCAACUAACGGCAUCUACUACACUUUCCAGGUAGUUAUAAAAGUAGAUAGUUUUAGAAAAUUUAAAAGCCAUAGGAAAGAAAAUAUUUUGUAUAUUUACAAGGUAUGAGGUUUUCCAGGGUGAGAUUUAGCAAAGUUCAUAGAACAAUGGAACUCAAUUCUGCCACUAGUAAGUAAGUUGCAGAGUUUAGUUUCAAAUACAGGUGUAUUUGAGUAAAGGCUUAAGCCUCCUCUUUAAACUUCCAUUGCCUCAUCUUUAAAAUGGUGAUAAUACAUAGUUUUUAGGGCUGUCAGGACUGGAAAGAAUGAGUGCAGGGGAACUGGCACGUAACAUGGGAUCAGUUGAUUGUAACCAUCACUGUUUGUAAUAACGGUGUAUGUGUGUGUGUGUGUGUGUGUGUGUGUGUGUGUUGAGAGCUAGUACAGCAAUUGACAAUGUUUGGAUGAUCUCCAUUUAGGGGAACAGCAAAGAUCUGGUUUAUUUAAACUGUUAAGCUUGGUAUCAAUCCUUGGCAAAAUUCUGUAUCUGGCUAUAUAACAAUGGAAAAUUAAAGAAUUCAGCAAUGGUCAGACAAUGACAAGCAUCCCCUAAGAAGGGAUCAUACAAACAGACUUCGUUUCCUUUUUGGAUACCAAGUUGGUCUAUAUGGAGGCCAUGUUCCCCAGAGUAUGGUGUGUACACUAUUAGAAGCAUGUGGCUGUUCAUUGAUGUCACUCACUGAAAUUGAGUGAGCUACUGAAUUGAGCUGCUAUUGGGAUUAAAUAUACCACUGAAAAUUCUAAUUGUCAAUGACCAAAAGAUUGAUCCUUUGGAC
rnacentral:lncRNA from 1 species